rnacentral:lncRNA from 1 species
UGUAAUGAUAGUCCACAAAUUUUAUAUGUCUAAUGUAUACUAGUACUUGCAUUUCUUAAUAUAUCAUUAGUGAGAUAUAAAUGGAUCCAUCUCUUAGAAUUUGUCCGGAUACUAGAUCAUCGAAUAUUUAUUUAUAUAGCAGAUACCGACUUGUUUGGGGCUGAGGCAUAGUUGCUGUUGUAUAGUUUUUCUAAAAUUUGCUCAAGAUCAAUUCGGAGCAUAAAUAUCAACCUAGCUAAUGUUUCUGAAACCAAACAAAACGUAAUACUAACAAGCUAGUUGGAAUAUGCAUCACAAAGACUACUGAUGUUUCUGUAAUAAUAACGCUCUUCUUUUUUAUGGAGUGAAGGAUACACUAAAAUCGCCUCCACCAGAAAACCGGACCAUGAAGAAGGCGUCCAUAACCGCAAUAGUCAUCACCACUUUCUUCUAUCUGUGCUGUAGUUGCUUUGGCUACGCAGCCUUUGGGAACAACACACCAGGGAACCUCUUGACUUUGUAAGUGUCUCAAUUACAAUAAACGUAUCACUUCACUAUGCUCAUUUCGUCCGGUUGUCAGAUAACAUUAUAGCCACUGUAGUGAUGCGGUGCCUAACCUGCAAGAGACAGUGUAUGCAAUUCAAGCUGAAUGGUAUAUGCUUCUGUUAAGUUAUUAAUCCCUCCGACAAUUUUUGCAGGGAAAUUCAGAUAUCAAAUUGUUACCACAAAGGAGGAGAAAAAGCACAUUGCCAGACUGGGAUGACCAUUUUCAUGCUGAUUUUUGGCAUUGUUCAGAUAGCAACGUCGCAGAUACCAGAUUUUCACAACAUGGCGUGGUUGUCUGUUGUCGCUGCAUUAAUGUCAUUUUGUUACGCAACCAUCGGAUUGGGCCUUGGAUUUUCUAAUGUGAUUGGUAAAGCCUUGACUCUUCUCUUUCUCCUUCUUGUUUUUUUCAUCUGAAGUUCCAAAAAUAGAUCGAAGAGUCUUGUGUAUUUUGACCUUAGUCCCCAUUGGUGUUGGAUCUGUAGAAAAUAAGAGUAUCAAGGGAAGCAUUGUUGGAAUACCAACAAGGAGUUCUGCUCAGAAGAUAUGGCUAGUUUUCCAGGCACUCGGAGACAUUGCUUUUGCCUAUCCUUAUUCGAUAAUUCUCCUCGAGAUACAGGUAUUUUGUAAUGAUAGUCCACAAAUUUUAUAUGUCUAAUGUAUACUAGUACUUGCAUUUCUUAAUAUAUCAUUAGUGAGAUAUAAAUGGAUCCAUCUCUUAGAAUUUGUCCGGAUACUAGAUCAUCGAAUAUUUAUUUAUAUAGCAGAUACCGACUUGUUUGGGGCUGAGGCAUAGUUGCUGUUGUAUAGUUUUUCUAAAAUUUGCUCAAGAUCAAUUCGGAGCAUAAAUAUCAACCUAGCUAAUGUUUCUGAAACCAAACAAAACGUAAUACUAACAAGCUAGUUGGAAUAUGCAUCACAAAGACUACUGAUGUUUCUGUAAUAAUAACGCUCUUCUUUUUUAUGGAGUGAAGGAUACACUAAAAUCGCCUCCACCAGAAAACCGGACCAUGAAGAAGGCGUCCAUAACCGCAAUAGUCAUCACCACUUUCUUCUAUCUGUGCUGUAGUUGCUUUGGCUACGCAGCCUUUGGGAACAACACACCAGGGAACCUCUUGACAGGUUUCAACGAGCCGUUUUGGCUUGUUGACUUUGCCAAUGCCUGCAUAGUCCUUCAUCUGGUUGGAGGGUAUCAGGUAGUUACUAAAAUUCAAGUGCUUUUCCUUCCCCCUUUAUACUUUGGUUUAUGAACAAAAUACUCGUUUCCAUAGGUAUACAGCCAGCCAGUAUUUGCAUUUGUGGAAAAAUGGGCAACUCAAAAGUACCCUGAGAACAGAUUCGUGAACAAGUUCUACG